rnacentral:lncRNA from 1 species
AUUUAUUGCGGAAAUUUGUGAAAUUAAUGUUUGAUUUCUCCAUAAGAGUCAGACACAACAUGUGAAAUUAAUUGAGGGUUUCUCUAAUUUAUGAUUUUUUUUUUUGGAAAGAACAUCUUUAGACACUAUUCUUUCCCAUUUAUAUAGAUAUAUAUAUAUAUAUAUAACUAGCACGCAUAAUUUGAAGUGCUGUAUUAUUAAUUUUUUCAAAUAUAUAUGUAUAUAUAUUAUUAAUUGGAUAAGGUUGUUUUAUAAAGUACUUUUUUUGUAUUUGUGCAUUACAAGACAGAAAUAAUUGGAGCAUGUGGAGGAUUGUUGAUUUUCACCUUUCUUAUUUAAAUUCAUGAAGAAGUGUUUCAUUUCAAAUUUUUAUCAGGAGAUUUAUACAUCACUCAAGAAAAAGUUUAUUAAAUUUGGAUGAUUGAUUACACAAAGCUUCAAACAAAAGACGUAGGCAAUUCAGUAAUCUCCCAUUUACACCAAAUAUUGAGCAUUUGAAUCCAAAGGUGGUCAAAGCCAAAAAAUACAAAAUACAAAAUAAAACAACAGGUAAUUUCUAUAAUUUGCAACAACAAUUUAUGCUAUAUUACUGCAACCUUCAACACACGCUAUUGUAUUUAUGUAUGUAUAUAGGUGCAUGUUUAUUAAUAUGACUUUUUUUCUAUUUUCUCUUUUAAUCAAAAAGACUUUCAAACAAUGUAGUAAAUACUAUAUUUGAUGAUAAAAUGGUGUUUGUGUGUAUACAUAUUUAUGUACCAAUAGGAGUGAGACGUUUCCAUCCGCAACAAUGGUUGCAUGAUAUAAAUGCUCAAAACAAAUGUUCAUGUGAGACGAAGUGGAUGGAUCUCCUCACCACAGGAACUGAGACAAAAUGGGGUCUGUUUACUCCACAAAACCCUAACCCUAACCCUAAUCUCACUCCCCUCCCUUGCUCUCACUCCAGCUCUCCUUUUGCUUCUGUUUUGUAGAACAUGGUCCAUCUCUCAUCUAUUGGGGUCUAAUCUGAAACUCAACAUCCCACGCUGCCUUUACCUUUUUUUCCCACAAAAGUAGUGCUUGAUGUUGAUGUUGAUAACACCCAAAAGCUUUGCCUGUCCCUUAGUCUAAUGGAAUCCUUCAAAGGGGAUUUUAUUGUUUAUGUAUAUACAAUUGUACAUAUAUGUAAGUAAUUGAUAUUGUUAAUAAACCUGAAUUGAACACUGUACUUGGAGAAAAUAAUCACGUAUGCAAUUUUGAGCUCCAUUUGGACAGAAAUAUUCAAUUCCAAGAUAGUUUCAAGCAUUACAGUAAAUUUUAUUGAUUUAUUUUCCUGCAUUUGUAUGUGCACACAUGUGAAUGAAAUCCUUUAAAGCCACACCAUGCUCACAAUAAGUUACAUAACUUCCUUUGGAGAUGCAAAAUUUUGAUAGGAUAGAUAGAUAGGGGAAUGUUAAAUAGACCAAUAGUUUGACUAAAUAGACCCACCUUUGAUGAAGAAUAUGGUAAUUACAACAAAUGUGGUUGGUUUUUAUUAGUUGCAGAUCCGAUAAUGGGGAAAUGAAUCAUUGUUUUUUUUCAUGAAGGAUAGGAUGGGUGGGUCAAUUUUGUAAA